rnacentral:rRNA from 1 species
AUGGGAUGCUUGCUUUCAUUCAUCACAGAAUCGACCCAAGAACUAUCAUAGGCAUUUUCAAGGACAACAAUUGGGCAAGACAUGUCCCAUCCACCGCAGUCACACCUUCCCCCGCUUUUUAGACGGUUAAGUAACGGUGAUGGACUGGUCUCCUCAUCCCUUGGUAACCCGUGUGCUCCGCCUGCUGUAACCACUUUGACUGUACCAGGUGAUGAUCCAGCUUUCAAUUCUUGGGACCGGGUUUUAUGAAAUGGCACUUGGACUACAACAGCUGCAACCUCCAAAUGA